UCCCUGCUGGCUCAGACGGUAAAGAAUUUGCCUGCAAUGCAGAAGAUCCAGGUUUGAUCCCUGGGUAGGGAA
rnacentral:tRNA from 1 species